UCCACCUCGGCGGCGUUCUGGUUGCUAUGCCCUUUUGUGGCUGUGACUGCCCGCCCCCACAACGCCCUUCUCUGUCUCCGUUUUCUUCCCAGUGCUCUGAACUUUUGGGCAAAUGUGUCAAGUGUGAACACAGACAAAGCUUCACUUCAAAGCUCGUGUUCAGGGCCCUUAAAGUCAUAGUUAUUGCAAAACUGCGACCGUCUGGCGAACCUGCCUUAUGUAAGGGUGCUUGAACGUAUGAUUCACCAAACAUUUCUGCCGACAUCGCAAAGUUGUUGGAGCCAGAGUAGGAGAAAGACCACCCGUUUGAGAUCAUGGCUUGACAGGGAACACUCCCUCCUGCCACCAGAAUGGGUCCAAUCUAGACAUGUCUUCUCUGGCUUCCUUGUGCCUUGCCUUAUUUGGAGGGUUGGAAUAGUGGUCUGUCUUCGUGCGUGGUGAGAUAAUCAACACCAACAUCGAAGGAAGGAAGAUCUUUGCCACAGAGGAUCCUAGUUCCAGCUCCCAGAACAUUUGCUGGACUAUGACACUGGGAUUUAGAGAUGGAUGUUCAGAGGCCAGGAAGGAUGCUCUAUUGAGACAAAAAUCAUAUCACUGAGUAGCUAGCUAUAAAUAUACUUUGCUUUGCUUGGUGGGAAUAUAAGAUUUCUGGCACCUUACUGGCAAAAUAAGUCUUUGUAACUAAUUCCCAACUAAAUGUUUUCUUUCUUUUUCCUGAAAACUAGUUUUGAAUACUUCAAAGUCAAGUUCAAAACCUACCUGAGUUUUGUUUAUAUAUACAAAUAGUUUUUUCUUUCCUUUAGUGGAUCCCACAAUAAUUUUGGAAAAAAUAAUCCCAUGCAUUGACUACACUGAUUCAGUCGGCUUGUGUUCCGGUUAGUUUUAUGUCAGAGUGACAUGUGCUGAAGUCAUUCGUAAAGGGAGCUUCCAUUAAGAACCUAGAUUGGAGGCUAAUAUCCAAUAUAUAAAGAACUCAAGAAGUUGGACUCUAGAAAA